UACGGGGGGAGGCAAGCGUUGUUCGGAUUUACUGGGCGUAAAGGGCGCGUAGGCGGCCAGCACAAGUCAGUUGUGAAAUCUCCGAGCUUAACUCGGAAAGGUCAACUGAUACUGUGCGGCUAGAGUGCGGAAGGGGCAACUGGAAUUCUUGGUGUAGCGGUGAAAUGCGUAGAUAUCAAGAGGAACACCUGCGGCGAAGGCGGGUUGCUGGGCCGACACUGACGCUGAGGCGCGAAAGCCAGGGGAGCGAACGGG
rnacentral:rRNA from 1 species